UAGAACAUAAAACGUGUAUAAAACAUGCC
rnacentral:piRNA from 1 species